AUACGGAGGGUGCAAGCGUUGUCCGGAUUUAUUGGGUUUAAAGGGUGCGUAGGCGGUGCGCUAAGUCAGUGGUGAAAUCCCGCAGCUCAACUGCGGAACUGCCAUUGAUACUGGCGCACUUGAGUACGGACGAGGUAGGCGGAAUUUAUGGUGUAGCGGUGAAAUGCAUAGAUACCAUAAAGAACACCGAUAGCGAAGGCAGCUUACUAGACCGUAACUGACGCUCAGGCACGAAAGCGUGGGGAGCGAACAGGAUUAGAAACCCCAGUAGUCC
rnacentral:rRNA from 1 species